rnacentral:sRNA from 1 species
GAAAAAAUCAAAAAAAAAAAGGAGAGAGAAACGAGAAAAGU